rnacentral:rRNA from 1 species
CGCGUAGGCGGCCCGGUAAGUCCGCUCUGAAAGUCCAGGGCUCAACCCUGGAAUGCGGGUGGAUACUGCCGGGCUCGAGUCCGGAAGAGGCGAGUGGAAUUCCUGGUGUAGCGGUGGAAUGCGCAGAUAUCAGGAGGAACACCAAUAGCGAAGGCAGCUCGCUGGGACGGUACUGACGCUAAGGCGCGAAAGCGUGGGAGCAAACA